rnacentral:lncRNA from 1 species
UAGGAUUGGUUGCUGGGGAAAGGCAUAGAGUUCUAGGUGCAAUGUUUUAAGGGGAAGACUUACACUAUGAAGCUAGCCCAGAAGAGGGUGACUAGAGUACUGAGGAGUUUCUACCUGGAAGGGCUGUAAGGAAGACAACUGCUAUGUUGUGAGCGGCUCUAUGGAGAGGCCCAUGUGGAGGGAAGUGAGGAAGGCCUCUGGCCAACAGUCCAGGAGGAAGUGAAGCCCUCAGUCCAACAGCCUGUGUGGAACUGAACCCUGCAAACAACUCUGUGUGUGAGCUUGGAAGUGGAUCCAUAUUCAGUCAAACCUUGAGAUGGGACACCAUGCUCUGCUAACACUUGAUUGUGGUCCCAGCUAGGCCACUGCUGAAGUCUUGACUCAGAGAAACGAUGAUAUAGUAAAUGUUUGUUGUUUCAAGUUGGUAAGUUUUGGGAUAAUUUUUUAUAUAGUGAUAAUUUUUUAUAUACUUUAAAAUAACACAUUGCCCUAUCCUUUGGUUACACUUUUCUCUUGGAACUCUGCUUGCCCAUAUAUUACAGAAAUAUUUUUCAGAUCAUGGGCUGAAAGGUGGAUUAUGGAUGCAAUGUUUAAAUUUAGCAAUGUCAUUUAUGACUGUUCAUAUGAGCUUUGCUGCAUAAAAUGUUGAUAUUAAUUUGUUUCCCUUUAAGACAUUCUUAAUGUUUACCUCUCAGUAUUUUCUUUGUAAUCAAUUAAUGUAAGAUGAAUAUAGUUUGUAGGUUUUACCUUUCUUGAUUCGUAUACAAAACACACAACAUCCAACCAUUGUUAUUUAAAGAUUAUCUAGGAGGAGAUGAUGGAAACUCUGUUUUGGGCCACCUUCUUUACACAUUGGGUCUAUUUCCCCUAACUUGAGUAUAUAUUAAACUAGUGGGGGAUUGAGCUACAAAAAUGCUACUUGGUGAGAAUUUUAUUAAUACAAAUACUCAACUCUGAAGUUACGUUUUUGUGGAAAGUUAUCACUUUGGAAUUUGAAUUUUCUUGGAGCUAAGCCACUGGUAGUUGUAAAAGCUACACCUGUAAAUUUGCUCCCUAGAAGAUACUUUCGUUUAGUGACCACUUGUUUCUCUGUGGAUAAAUUCAAUUAUAAAUUACAAUCGAAUUGACGUUUUCAUAGCAUCCUUCACUCUCCAAGUAUCUCAAGUCCUCUGUGAAUUAUAAAGUAAUUACAGUGCUCAAAGGACAGUUUCAUAAUUGUGUCCAUGAGCACAGACUUUCCUCUAUGUUCGAGAAGGGCUCAUUCCCAGCCGGGAACAUUAAGUUGGAUUUUAUUGAGACUGGGGACUGCUAGUCCAGACAGCUGGGUGAUCCCCUGCGCUAUUUUGAAAAGUAUCCUGGGAUCUUUAAUUUCCACCUGGAUGGUCAGGGAGGUGAGAGAACGGCCCUCACUGGGUGUGACCUUGUAUCCCACUUGGGGUCUUGAACCAGGGGACCCCCAACCCCAGAGGUGAGACAUGCAAUAUGGUCAAUUAUACAACCUCUUAAUUAUUUUUUGCUGAAUCUCAAGUGAGUUCUCAUGGCCUGCUCUCUCCCGGGUGGGUUCAGAAGGUGGCCAAGAAGAAAUGUUAGAAAAUUCCCAGAGAGCCAUUUCAUGAGAAUGUUUUCUUUGGUUUAUACCUGAUACUGUUUUGUUUUUGUUGUUGCUUUUUAAUAACUUUUUUUUCUUUUUGUGGGGUCAUUUGCGUAAUACACAGGUGACGAACACUCAAGGUUAUUUGGUCGCAUGCCACCAAAUAACUUUCCUUUGGCACAUCUGCAGUGAAGGAGUCUUUCUGUCUGUCUCCUUUUGUUCCUCAUCAUCUAUUAGCUUGGCACAGCUGACUGAGCUGUUAAAUGAUUACUGCAUAUUUUGUACCUCACCUUGAGAGGCUUUGGUAUAAAAAGGUGCUAAUUAAGCUGAAGCUUCUGGCCCUCUUGCCUAUGUGGGCCCCAGGAAGCGAAGCAAAAAGACUUUAGGGAGCUGGAGCUUGUGUGUGUGUGUGUGUGUGUGUGUGUGUGUGUGUGUGUGUGUGUGUGUGUGUGUGUUUCGUUUUCAGCAUUUUGAGGAAUUGUUACUGGAACUUAUAAAAUAAUUGUUUUAGACCUUAUAAACACAGCAAAUUCUUCAAACUACGUAUGAGGCUGACUCAAAAAGCCACGUAAAGGUAGCUUGGCGAAUCAACUAACUGCUGACCAGUUUGUGGUGAUCGUAAGUCUAUAUAUGCUGGAUUUGGCGAUCGUAAGUCUAUAUAUGCUGGAUUUGAAUAUUUUCUGUAUUUAAAGAAAAAUAAGUACAUUCUAAGAAUAGUUGUCAUCUCCCUCUGUAGACUUGCCCCGUAGAUAUUUGAAAUGGGGAUUAACAUAUUUAAGAGUAGCAGGAAGUGCUAUUUCAUCAGUGUCUAGAAUGGGAGGCGAAUUCAGUCCCUGCCUGGACUUGUUGACUAGCUCGCUGGGUUGUGAAAACCACGGCAUUCUCCUGGGAAUUUGUUCCAGGGCACUGACUGCAUUUCUUCUGAAGCUAAAGCACUUAGCUUUGCUUCCAUGCCUUUUAAUAUAAUUUGUAGGCUUCAGCAGAUUUCUAAAGUACACCACUUGAUAUCUUUCACAGCUCAAGGUAAAUUCUGCAGCACGAACUUAUAGAAUUUUUUUCUUUUACCUGGGGUGAGAACAUACCUUUUCCUAGUGCUAUUUUUUUUUUCUGGGCUACCUUUCAUCUGUUUACAUGAAUUCCACUUCUUCUCGCUGUGUUAAAGAAAUCCCCUAAGCUGUCUACAUAGGUGUGAAACUUUUGGUUGUGAUUUCCUUGAAGUUAGUUGGAACUGGAACAUUUUUUUCUGUGUCCUGAAUGGCUCACACAUUCCCUAACACAGAAUGGAUACUCAGCGAACAGUUGUUGAAUCAGUGAACGGUAAUGGCUCAGUUCUGUCAGACAAUGGAUUGAAUUAUUUUUACACCUUUAAUUCACUCAUGGACUGAAUUAACCUACUCAUGGGCUGUUUGGGGCAUCAAGUGAUAUUUAUACAUUUCUGAAGAAUGUGGAAUCACCAGGGUUAACAGUGUUUGCAGGUGGCGUUCGAUUGCAGGGGCCCAAGGAACCACGGCUGAAUUCCGCAUGGACAUAGGCCAUUUUCCACCAGCAAAGUUAUGAGAACUUUUUUUGUUUUGGUAACUGAUGUGAAAUUUUCAGUUCCGAAUGACAUCCAGAAACUCUCCUUCUGCAGCAGAUGAAUGUUUUGAGGGAAUUUGAGAGGAGGGUUUGUCUUUUAUCUCUCACCUGCACGAGGACACUUGCAGUCUCUUAAGAGAUGUUCUCUUUUUGAAAUGGUGGAAGGACAGAAGCAUCAGCCAGCCCGUUCAUGCUUGGGGACAGAGAGGGAGCUCAGAGCUUAGGGGAGCACAGGUCACUCUAAUGAAUGACAGCUGUAAUAAUAAAGACAUGCCAUCCAUGCUACUUUUUGCAGAAACCAGAAACAUCCUUGUGAAAGUUAAAGGGAAAAGAAAAACGUGUACUUUGAGGGGGGUGUUAACGGGGGACAGGAGGUGGCGACAUAAAAGACUGGUUUAAUGUGUCUCGUUGUAGCCCCUAAGGCUUUACCUGACCCCAUCACUGUCACAACACCUUCUUCGGGACUGACAGUCUUGGUAAUUGAUGGGUUGGUGGGGGCUUUUUUCUGCAAACACAUUAAGGCAGGAGGGAAUACUCUGGCCCCCACCUCCCCACGCCUGGCACGGGGGACCUGGAGGCGAGCAGACACCAGGCCCGGCGGUGUUGGGGGCAGAAGGGAUCAAUUCUGUCAACCAGACUGCCCAGCUACUGUCAGGCACUGGGACCCUUCACCUGCUCCUUGGAGUCAUUAGAACUCCCAAAUCUCUUUGCAGGCCUUUUCUAUUAGACACAUACUCCCAUGUUUUGAUUUUUUGCUCCCAAAGUCAUUUUUUUAAAUAAUUACCUGCAUCGAACCACACUUACCAUCUGUGGGCUGAGAGCGGGCAAAUGAUUUAUUAGUCUUGGUUUCUAACGGUGCUGAGCAGCUUGGGAUCGAUCUUGCUGGUGACACACUCGGCAGAUGCACCGAUGGGUGGGAGGGUCAAUGUCAGGAUGAAGCUUCUUGCGGAGCUGACAUGCACGUGGGGACCCCAGGUGUGGUGUUUAGUUGGUAGACUGUGACAUUGCAAAAGUGGAGUCUCAAGCCAUGGCGGAUAACAGGCGGCAGAAAAAGCAGUGAGGGAGCUUCUUGGGAUGUUUUACUUUAAGUAGAAAGUAAAACUGUGCAUGAAAAGAGGGGACAGAGUAUGCAACCCAAAUCAUCGCCAAGGCUCUUGGUUUCUUCUGUGCACACUGCCUGCCUUGUAUCCAAGCGUUUGACUGUGCAGAGGCCAGUCAUACUGGGGGACCCUGAGCACUACCCUUGGCAUUUGGGUAUAUCCUGAUCAAUAUAGCCAUUUCCACUGCUUGACAUUAUGUUUUGGGGGCUAGUUUUUUAAAGAUCAAUGAUUGAAUUGCUGCUCGGCUGAUUGGAUAUGUCUUCUCGGAGACUCACCUGUCCUCCCCGAAGAGAUGCUGACUACACAACAGCAGUCACUGUGCUGGGCACACGGGCAGUGUUCAGGAGACGUGGCUUCCUUUCUUCUUCUUUCAUUUCUUCCUGCCCAGAACAGCAAGGCUGAGACUGAUAAUAAAAUUCCUGGAACAUGGAGAAACUCAUGUGGGGAGAAAAGAAGAAAUGUAUUGUGACUUCCAUGGGCUUUUGGCACUUUUGGACCUCCCUCCUCCUCUUUUCCAUAAAAAAUGUAUUUUAAGACAUAUUGGUAUAAAGAUGAGAUUAUUCAUAGUACAUAUUAAAAUGUUUUCCCCUACCUAAAAGUUUGUGGUUUUAUUGUCUUCUUGUUUUUAAAAUAAAUUAAAAUAUUUUCAAAGGCCGUUAGAAGAACCGUGGGCCCUGGGCUUGGUGCCUGCUGUGCCUCAUAAAUCAGGCCUGGAGAAGAGACAUCAGUGACAUUUUAGUGUCAGGUAGAAAAUGUAAAAUAUCAUGAUUGUUUUCCAAUGAUAUACUAAGUAAGACACAUAAGAUGUGUUUUAAUUUUUUUCUUGAUGUAUGCUGUUGUCUUUUAGUUAUAAAUGCUGAGUACUGUUAAAAGAUAAACUGAGGCACAAUAAAAUUUGAAGAGUUUAUUUGAGCAAACAAUGAUUUGUUACCGAAACACCAGGGGUUCAUCUGGGUCCUGCUGCUUGCCACACAGAAAGCCAAUCACUGAG